CCUACGGGUGGCAGCAGUAGGGAAUCUUCCACAAUGGGCGAAAGCCUGAUGGAGCAACGCCGCGUGGGUGAAGAAGGUCUUCGGAUCGUAAAACCCUGUUGUUAGAGAAGAAAGUGCGUGAGAGUAACUGUUCACGUUUCGACGGUAUCCAACCAGAAAGCCACGGCUAACUACGUGCCAGCAGCCGCGGUAAUACGUAGGUGGCAAGCGUUAUCCGGAUUUAUUGGGCGUAAAGGGAACGCAGGCGGUCUGUUAAGUCUGAUGGGAAAGCCUUCGGCUUAACCGGAGUAGUGCAUUGGAUACUGGGAGGCUUGAGGGCAGUAGAGGGGAGUGGAACUCGAGGUGUAGCGGUGAAAUGCGUAGAUAUAUGGAAGAACACCGGUGGCGAAGGCGGCUCUCUGGUCUAUAACUGACGCUGAGGUUCGAAAGCGUGGGUAGCAAACAGGAGUAGAUACCCCAGUAGUC
rnacentral:rRNA from 1 species